rnacentral:rRNA from 1 species
UACGUAGGGGGCUAGCGUUGUCCGGAAUCAUUGGGCGUAAAGCGCGUGUAGGCGGUCCGGUAAGUCCGCUGUGAAAGUCGAGGGCUCAACCCUCGAAUGCCGGUGGAUACUGUCGGGCUUGAGUACGGGAGAGGCGAGUGGAAUUCCUGGUGUAGCGGUGAAAAUGCGCAGAUAUCAGGAGGAACACCAAUAGCGAAGGCAGCUCGCUGGGGACGGUAUUUGACGCUGAGGGCGCGAAAAGCGUGGGGGGAGCAAAACAGGG